rnacentral:lncRNA from 1 species
CAGACGCUCCUAUAUAACAAGUAGACGCUUCGCGUCUACUUUAGUCCGUGGGGACCAGUAGAAAUUUUAAAAAUUUUUGUCAGUACUACAAAAAAAAAUCUCCAAAAUUAUCCAAGGAGUGCCCUAAACACGCAGUGGGGAAGAGACCUGCCGUACCCUCAUAAGGCUCUGAGUUCAAACCUUAGCCUCGGCAUGGUGCUCUACCCAACUUUUUCUUUUUUUAGUACUUGGAAAACAUUAACAUCUAUAAUAAAUCCAAAAAUCUCAUCCAUUAUUCUGUAAGAGACCAACAUACAAAAUUGACGAAACACAAAGUCACGGUCUCACAACAUGUAAUUAAACGGGCUACACGUGUUUCGCUCUAGUUAGAGCAUCAUCAGGCCUUUAGAAGCCAUCCACACACUUAUGCUGUAACUGAUGAUGCUCCAACUAGAGCGAAACACGUGUAGCCCGUUUAAUUACAUGUUGUGAGACCGUGACUUUGUGUUUUUCUUUGUUUUUCGUCAAUCUAUAGUAAAUACAGAGAGAAAAGGAAAGGUCUUAUUAUAUAUUAUAAUCAAAAAUAAAUUUCAUUGAAAUAUUACUAACUUAUUUCUCGGUAUCAUGCUUCAGAGAACCAUGAUGUGUUACAAUACGCUCCGCUCUUUAAUUUUAGUUUAGUAGAAAAUAUUCUCAAAACCUACAUAUAUCAAAAUUAUGUCAGGGUUCUAAAAUGAAUCGGUAAUAAAAUCGUAAACCAGAUCAACAUUGGAAAUAUUUUUAAAAAAAAUGCUUUGGUCCGAUUGAAAAAUGUAGUAUACUACCAAAUAGUUACAUCUAUUCGGUGGCAAUUAAGUUAUAAAAUUCUGUCUAUUAUUAAUUUUAAUAAUAUAAAGUGUACCCUUUAACUCUCAGCCAUUAUUUACAAUUUAAUUGUUAAUUAUGCCUAAAAAAAUGAAUUGACAACUUUGGUAUUAUUGGUAUAAACAGCUUAAUUCCUUUAUGUAAAGCCACCUUAACAUGUUUUUGCAUAAUUCUGACUCACGUUGGUUGCUAUCGGGCUUAAGCCAUAAAAAUCGAAGAAAAAAAGAAGAAGACGAAGAGACUUUCACUUGUCAUUUCAAUGUCACUUUCCGGCCCACAAGCAUAAACGCCACCGGCAACGGAAGUUCCCAAAAUCCAAACAAAUGUUGGAAGAUAUUUUUAAGUCUCCGCAUCUUUCUUACUUUCCUAUAUGAAAAUAAAAUGUAAGUAUCACAAUUACACACAUACAAGUUUUUUUUUUUAAUUCAGUUUCAUAAUUACCAAUUUUUAGUGAAUAAUCCUGAAAUUUAUGAAAAUACAUACAUUUUAAGGUUAUGUCAUAAUGUUUUGAUUGUUAUAUUUGAUUUUGUUUUUGUUAUUUUAGUGGACUACACCAACAAAGGUUAUGUGUUUUGCACCAGAUUGAAAGCAUCAUAGCGAAAAACGGACCUGUCAUAUCUUUAAAUUUUCAAAAGAGCCCCUGGAAAAAGAAAAAUGAAUAUCUUUGCCAAGGAAUAGGCAAAUGGAUAAAAAACCUUCAGUCCAUGCAUUGGUAUGUAAUUGUUGACAAAAAUACAAUGAAUGGCCUCACUACUUUUCCACAUGCAAAGAGGUUAACCAAGGAGAAAUUAAAGAAAUUGUCAAAAACCUAGGUAAAUACAGAAUUGCUUAGUACAAACAUAUCUAUACCCAGUACAAGUUCGUCCACUUCUUUGAAGCAUGGUACUUCAAACAGAAACACUGUCAACAAUUUUGUAGAAGGUGAGCCGGUGUCAAAUUCCAGUAAGGGACAUGAUUUCAAUUUUGCACCAACAGCAGAGCUAAAAUUCAUUUUGCCGCAAAAAACUGGAGGAUGUGAAAGAAAAAAGUGCAGAAGUUAAAAUUAAGUUUUUCAUAUGAGCACAUAAAAAAUAAUCAUGACAAAGUUCAGUUGUAUACAGGUUUGACAUGUAAUAAAUAUUUUUGUAAUCUUAUUAAGUUAAUUAGUUUUAUAUAUUAUUUAAAUAAUAAUUGAAUACUUCACAUAGAAUAUGCAGAAAUUAUAUGUACAUAUAUAAAUUUUUUUAUUAAGAUAAGGACAACAUGUAUUAAAGCAUAACACAUAAUAUAAACACACACGUAAUAUCUUCAUUAAAAAUUAUGAUUGUAUGUUAUGUAGCAUUAGAGCCUAAAAACAUUAAGGAGAAUAAAGGUCGUUAUUGGCAAA